UGAUGUGUAAUUAUAUCUUUUUAUGGAAAAUUCUCUCUGCUUAUCUGAUCAUUACAGAAUUCAUAAGUUUCUGAACCUCAGAUCAAGAAGGUUUUAGAAGCUGAGGACCCAUGACUGAAUGCCUUGUUCCUGUUGCAUUGUCUCCAAUGCGUGCAUUUUUCAAAGGUAGGUGAGUGAAUCAGCCCCAGUUGGAGAGGUCAGCCUUGCAAUAUUUCCACCAUCACUUGCACUUGGAAUACUUGUGAGAAGAGAAGGUUUACAUGGAAAAAUAUUGGAAGGAAAUUAUUUUGGAUCAUACAGCAUGAUAUCUUUGUGCAUGAUGGGUAAUCCUGACUCAUCUACAAUACCAUUUUCAGUGUGUGAAAGGUGCUUGGAGGCCUUUUCCUAUGAAAUACACUUGCUUUUACUACUCCUAGUGAAGAGAAACCACCUCCCUUUAACCUCAACCAGACAAAACCAAAACUCAACAGAAGAAGGGCACUCACGAGCUGGCUCAGCUGCAGUGCUGCUCUCCACGAGUCACAAUUGCUUCUCACCCCCAGCCCACUGCCAACCAUCCAGCCUGCAGCUGUGCCCUCCCACAGGGCCUUCUGGUGAGCAUGAACCUUAACAACUUCAACAAUUAUAGCCCAUAUCCCACAGAAAAUGAG
rnacentral:lncRNA from 1 species